UACGGAGGGUGCAAGCGUUAUCCGGAUUCACUGGGUUUAAAGGGUGCGUAGGUGGGCAAGUAAGUCAGUGGUGAAAUCUCCGGGCUUAACCCGGAAACUGCCAUUGAUACUAUUUGUCUUGAAUACUGUGGAGGUCAGCGGAAUAUGUCAUGUAGCGGUGAAAUGCUUAGAUAUGACAUAGAACACCAAUUGCGAAGGCAGCUUGCUACACAGUUAUUGACGCUGAGGCACGAAAGCGUGGGGAUCAAACAGG
rnacentral:rRNA from 1 species